rnacentral:rRNA from 1 species
CGCGUAGGCGGCUAUUUAAGUCGGAUGUGAAAGCCCCGGGCUCAACCUGGGAAUUGCAUCCGAUACUGGGUAGCUAGAAUGCAGUAGAGGGAGGUGGAAUUUCCGGUGUAGCGGUGAAAUGCGUAGAGAUCGGAAGGAACACCAGUGGCGAAGGCGGCCUCCUGGACUGACAUUGACGCUGAGUGCGAAAGCGUGGGGAUCAAACA